GUAGGGAAUAUUGCACAAUGGAGGAAACUCUGAUGCAGCGACGCCGCGUGAGUGAUGAAGGCCUUCGGGUCGUAAAGCUCUGUCGUAUGGGACUAACACAAUGAAGGUACCAUGCAAGAAAGGAUCGGCUAACUUCGUGCCAGCAGCCGCGGUAAGACGAGGGAUCCUAGCGUUGUUCGGAAUUAUUGGGCGUAAAGCGGGUGUAGGCGGAUUUAUAAGUCAGGUGUGAAAUCCCAGGGCUCAACCCUGGAAGUGCACUUGAUACUGUAAGUCUUGAGUGUGGUAGAGGCUAUUAGAAUUCUUGGUGUAGUGGUGAAAUACGUAGAUAUCAAGAGGAAUACCGGAGGCGAAGGCGGAUAGCUGGGCCAACACUGACGCUGAGACCCGAAAGCGUGGGGAUCAAACAGGAUUAGAAACCCUUGUAGUCC
rnacentral:rRNA from 1 species